CUGGAACGCGCCCCAGGCGCACCCAGAAACCCUUUGUGAACUUAUACCUUACCGUUGCCUCGGCGCAUGCCGGCCCCCAGGGGCCCCUCGGAGACGAGGAGCAGGCACGCCGGCGGCCAAGCUAACUCUUGUUUUUACACCGAAACUCUGAGGAAAAAAAAAAACAAAAUGAAUCA
rnacentral:misc_RNA from 1 species